rnacentral:rRNA from 1 species
GACGAACGCUGGCGGCGUGCUUAACACAUGCAAGUCGAGCGAAGCGGCGGACGGGUGAGUAACACGUGAGUAACCUGCCUUAGACAUUGGGAUAGCAUCGGGAAACCGGGAUCAAUACCAAAUGGUCUAAGAUGGACUCGAGUCCCAUUAGCGAGUUGGUGAGGUAACGGCCCACCAAGGAGACGAUGGGUAGCCGGGCUUGGAGGGUGAACGGGCACAUUGGAAGUGGGAAACGGUCGGAACUCUACGAGAGGCAGCAGUGGGGAAUAGUGCACAAUGGAGGGAACUCUGAUGCUGCGAGGCCGGGUAAACGAAGAAGGCUGUCAAGACGUAAAGUUCUUUUAUAUGGGAAGCGGUACCAGAAGAAAAAGCCCCGGCUAACUACGUGCCAGCAGCCGCGGUAAUUC